CAGGCAUGUAACUUUCUCCAGCUGUUAGAUUUUAUGUUUGAGAGUUUUCUGAAGAGUUUUCUGAAGCCUUUCAAGAUUUUAAGAGUACUUGUCCAAGUUUUGUGAUUGAUGGAGGUGCUGAUGGCAAAUUCCCAUGGUAUUCCCCAGUGGUCAUGAUUUUGCCUGAAUCUUCCUCUUCCUUGUGUGAGAGAAGAAACUCAUCAGGUUUGGCUGAUUAGCUCACUCGGUUCUGUGUGGAAGGAGAUGGUGUGGGCAUGAAUAUGGUAGGAGUUAAGAAAUAUAAUAUGGUGAUGUCUGGCUAAGGCCCUUGGAGGAUAACACUCACUGGAUAUUAUCAGGCUUUGUCUCCAAGGCAAGGUUUCACUGGCAGGAGGAGGGAACAUGUAUUUCUUGAGCCAUAGUAACAGCAUCAUCCCAUUUUUUCAGUAGUUCUGCAAUGCCAGUUCAUUCUGAUGUGUGGGCUUGUAGUGUCCUCAUGUAUAUGUGUGCACACCAAUAUCCAUAAAUAAACCAUAAUUGACCA